UCCGAUUAAACGGAUGACCGCGUGCCUGUUGAAGAAUGAGCCGGCGACUUAUAGGCACUGGUAGGUUAAAGCGAGAAUGCUGGAGCCAAAGGGAAACCGAGUCUGAAGAGGGCGAAAAUCAGUGUUUAUAGACCCGAACCCUGGUGAUCUAACCAUGGCCAGGAUGAAGCUUGGGUAACACCAAGUGGAGGUCCGAACCGACCGAUGUUGAAAAAUCGGCGGAUGAGUUGUGGUUAGGGGUGAAAUGCCAAUCGAACCAGGAGCUAGCUGGUUCUCCCCGAAAUGUGUUGAGGCGCAGCGGUAAUGAUUAAAUCUAGGGGGUAAAGCACUGUUUCGGUGCGGGCUGGGAGACCGGUACCAAAUCGAGACAAACUCAGAAUACCCAGAGAACACAUUGCCAGUGAGACAGUGGGGGAUAAGCUUCAUUGUCAAGAGGGAAACAGCCCAGACCACCAGCUAAGGUCCCCAAAUCAUCACUAAGUGAUAAAGGAGGUGGGAUUGCAAAGACAACUAGGAGGUUUGCCUAGAAGCAGCCACCCUUGAAAGAGUGCGUAAUAGCUCACUAGUCAAGCGAUCUUGCGCCGAAAAUGAACGGGGCUAAGUGAUGUACCGAAGCUGUGGGAUUAGAAAUAAUCGGUAGGGGAGCGUUCCGUAGUAGGGAGAAGCAGUAGCGGCGAGCAGCUGUGGACGAAACGGAAGUGAGAAUGUCGGCUUGAGUAGCGAAAACAUUGGUGAGAAUCCAAUGCCCCGAAACCCUAAGGGUUCCAGAGGCAGGUUCGUCCACUCUGGGUUAGUCGGGACCUAAGGCGAGGUCGAAAGGCGUAGUCGAUGGACACAGGGUCAACAAUCCCUGACUAAGAUAUGGGAGCAUUGCUAGGGACGCAUGAAAGAUAGCCAUACCCUGAUUGGUUUGGGAGGUCGUUACGACGACUGCAUGGUGAAGGAUAGUGUCAAGAAAAGCUAGUUAUGUGAUGAAGAUAUCUUACCCGUACCCGAAACCGACACAGGUAGGGAGGUUGAGAAUACCAAGGGGCGCGAGAUAACUCUCUCUAAGGAACUCGGCAAAAUGGCCCCGUAACUUCGGGAGAAGGGGUACCCCCUUAGGGGGGUCGCAGUGACCAGGCCCAGGCGACUGUUUAUCAAAAACACAGGUCUCCGCUAAGUCGUAAGACAAUAUAUGGGGGCUGACGCCUGCCCAGUGCCGGAAGGUUAAGGAAGUCGGUUAGCUUAGGCGAAGCUGGCGACCGAAGCCCCGGUGAACGGCGGCCGUAACAAUAACGGUCCUAAGGUAGCGAAGUUCCUUGUCGGGUAAGUUCCGACCCGCACGAAAGGCGUAACGAUUUGGACACUGUCUCGAGAAGAUGCACGACGAAAUUGUAGUACCGGUAAAGAUGCCGGUUACCCGCUGCUGGACAGAAAGACCCCGUGAACCUUUACUGCAACCUAACAUUGAAUUCUGGUGCACUAUGUGCAGGAUAGGUGGGAGGCUUUGAAGUGGCAUCGCUAGAUGUCAUGGAGCCAUCCUUGGGAUACCACCCUUACUGUAUUGGGAUUCUAACACCGACUGUUAUCCAGUUCGGUAGACAGUGUUAGGCGGGUAGUUUGACUGGGGCGGUCGCCUCCCAAAGAGUAACGGAGGCGCCCAAAGGUAUCCUCAGGCUGAUUGGAAACCAGCCGUAGAGUGUAAAGGCAUAAGGAUGCUUAACUGUGAGACAGACAUGUCGAACAGAUGGGAAACCAGGGCUUAGUGAUCCGGUGGUUCCGUAUGGAAGGGCCAUCGCUCAACGGAUAAAAGGUACUCCGGGGAUAACAGGCUUAUAGCGUCCAAGAGUUCAUAUCGACGACGCUGUUUGGCACCUCGAUGUCGACUCAUCGCAUCCUGGGGCUGAAGUCGGUCCCAAGGGUUGGGCUGUUCGCCCAUUA
rnacentral:rRNA from 1 species